ensembl:lncRNA
UAAGCUCUUUGAACUCUGGAGAAUGUGAGAAAAAUACCUUCCCAAGCAAGGGGACUGGAAACACAGAGAUAAGAAAUGACAAAUGCUCCCUCAAAACUACUCCAGAUUCUCCACACUCUACAAACCUAAAUCAAAUUAAGGAAAACCUCCUCUACAGGCUCAGAUUCAUUCAGCCCAUGACAGUGGCUGGGAAUAUUCAAUAUGGCUGAAUAAGUGGAUGGAUAAAUGAGCAAACACAGGCCCCCAUUUUGUCUUAGCUGCCAGAAUCUCCCCAGGUGUUAGCUGAAGGGUUUGCCUUAAGAUGAACAUUUGAGAAGAGUUUUCUACUGAAAAAUAGGAAGUAAUCCCAAGAACAACACACCUUGAUUUUUCACAGAGUCCCUUUUUCCUUGCCAAGAAUCUCAGAGCACUUUGGAGGGCACCCGAUUUCCAAUGAGUAGUAGCUGGAUAGGAGGCGCUUCCAGAGCCUCUUGGAAUUUCCUGAAGGAAGAUAAAGGCUGCGAAGGGGUCAUCAAAGGCCAGACACACUGUGUAAAGUCUGUAUUCCUGCAUAUUUUGCAGACAGGAAAAAGAAAGAACAAAAACUUCACAGUUGGGAAUAGAAAAUACCUCAUGGAUAUGGGUUUUAUUGCAAGCUCUGCGUCUGAGUUAAAGAUGUUAAUGCUGAAUUCGCCCACCAAGAUCAAAACUCCUACAAAACUCUUCCAGCUGCAGCAUUUAUGGCUCCAGGUUUUGUUUCAGAAAGUGAGGAAUAUGUUCCAGGAUUAUGAUCUUAUUUCUCUUUCUUGCCUGUUGUAA